CGCAUGGCGGACGGGUCCCUCACACCACCGCGACCCCCGGUGCGGCUCACGCGGGCCACCGCGGCGUGGCGCUCCAGACGGCGGCCCCAACGGACGGAGGAGGGCGGCGCAGCCCACAUCGGACUCGACAAAGAAAGAGAGGCAGAGACACAGGCAGAGGAAGAAGCAGGCUGCAUGCGGGGAGCCCGACGCGGGACUCCAGGACCAUACCCUGGCUGAAGGCGGCGCUAAACCGCGGAGCCCCCCGGGCCAUCCAGCGUCUUCGUAUCUUACUGAAAACAACUUUUCUACGGGAAACUCCACCGCAAGUUUCCAAAGACCGGAAACUGCGGUUUGAAACGGGCGAAUGAGACCUCUCUGAUCCAUUCCGUCAACAAUCUCCUAAACAAAGAGGUGGAGAAGCAGAAACACACCGGAGGAGAGAUGGGGAGGCCGAUGGGGUGGGCGGGUGACCUGGCAACGGACAGGGACAAAGUUCUUUGCUGUCCCCCAAAGAACUUACCCAGAAUCAUGGAAAUUGAGUACUCUGAAGGCUGAAGUGAGGCACAGAUGCUGCAAGGUCCAAAGGAGGCAUGUGGACCCUGCCCACCCUCCAAAGGAUGAGGUGCCCCCGCCCUGGGGUUGACCUGAGGCUCAUUCUUGGGGGCCUGGACCAGAGACGCCCAGACUCCAGGACAUCUGCUCACAGAGGGUGGGGUCGGGCCCAGUGCUGAACAGAGGAGGACUGAACAGGAGUGUCCACACUCUUGGGGCCAGCCAGCCCCUCCUGCCAGCUCCAGAACACCAGAAGCCAGACCUAAAUGCCACCCUCAGCAAGAGGUCAGAGGCUCCCUCUCCGGAGAGACUAAAAGCUCCUGCAGAGAAAAGGCCUACAAAUAUACUGACAUUUGGAAGUCAAACUAAAAAGCAAGUUGUCCACCAUUCACCCUGCAGGAAAUCCCAUGGCCAAUGUCAGUGCUCGCCCAGUGGCUCGGACCUUAGCUGCUGCAGAGUCCUCCAGUAGACUUCCAACAGUGGUGCCUGCAUCUCAUGCCUGCAGAGUCACCCAAGACCUCAGAAGACUGCUCUGCCUUCUUGUAGCAGGUGGACGGGUCCUGACAUUUACCCUCCCCUACCCCAUAGUGUUCAAUCAGUGAUUCAGAAAAGUCAAGGCAUAGCCCAGCUCCAUCAUCAUGCAGGUGGAGUAAUUCUGAGGAGUGUGUUUUGCACUAUAUUCAGAGUUCUCUGCAGGACCAGGUUCCAAACAUACACCGUACUAGCUGGCUUCAAAACUCAUCCUUUCUUGUUGGCCUUCCCUUGUGUUCCACAACUCACUACCCUACUAGGAUUUCCUUCACCUCCCAGAUAAACUGCUUGCCCUCAAAUCCUCCAUUUGGGAGACAGUCUACAAGUUCUCCAUGUAAGCACGCACACAGAGCCUCCAAUCAGCUUGCAUGCUUCGCUCUUAAAUAUGAUAGAUAUAGAUCACCAGAUACUUGAGAUAAGUCUUCAGGAUGAACAACAGAAACCAAAACAAGUGGGUGAAAUUCAGAGCAAGUGCUGUGGUUGCCAGCCUUCUCCAGGUUGGCUGCCUCCUGGUACUCAGUGUGUGGUCCUCAGACCACACAAAAGAGAUACUUACCUCUGAGAUUAGGUUAUAAAAAACACUAGUUUCCAUCUUAGUUACCCCUCCACAAUUCCCAGAUAACUCACUUUGGAAAAAGCUGUCAUGUUGAGCAGCCAUAUGGAGAAGCCCAUGUAGUAAGGAAUGGAGGCCUCCAGCCAUCAACCACAUGACUGAACUUGGGAGGCAAUCCUUCAUCUCCAUCCUUGCCUUAAGUCAGUCCAGUCCUGGCUGAUAUCACAAACUCAUGAGAGACCCCAGGCCAGAACCAACCACUAGGUCCUUCCAGAUUUCUGGCCCACAGAAACUGUGAGGUAGGAAACAUUUAUUGUUUUAAGUCACAAAACUGUGGGAAUAAUUUAUUAUGUGGCACUAUUAACUAGUAUAAGUACAUACUUUGCUAAGAGAGGAAAACCCCCAAAGAUUUCCCUAAGACGAGGUAAAGCACGGCACGGAUGAAACAAUCAGAGACAGGAAUGCCCAGAAGUUACAAAUACAGUAGCAUAAAUCUAAGUCAGUAGAAGCACUGGAAAAUAAAGCUAAGAAGGUUUCCGAGAAAGCAGAAUGGAAAGUCAAGGAAGUGGACGAUAGGGAUUUUUUUUUCUAAUUAGAGUUAGGUAAUGAAGCCAGGAGAUCCAACAUCUGACAAAUAGGAGUUUCAGAACAAGAACACAUAGAAAAUCAAGAGAAUAAAAUUAUCAAAGAAGUAACACCAGAAAUUUUCCCAGAACCGAAGGGCACGAGCCUUCAGACUGAAGAGCACACCAAGUUUCCAAACAAUAAAAGAACAAAGGCAUACUUUUCUGACAUUUCAGAACACUGAGGAUAAAAGCUUUCAGAAAGAGGAAAAUUAGGUCAUAAAACAGGAUCAAAAAUCUGAAUGGCAUCAGACUUCUCAAUAGCAGCAUGGAAACCUGAAUGCAGUAGGAAAAAGUGCCUUCGAAAUCCUAGGUAAAAAUAAUUUCAAAACUAGGAGUCUAUACUCAAGCAGGCUGUGAACUGAACAUGAGAAGAGAAUAAGGCAUCUGAGGAUAUUACAAGAGAAUAAACUCCACUAAGACUAGGUAGGAAAGAAGAUAAAGCAGCAAGAUCCAGGAAGCAUGAACUCCCAUCACAGGAGUGAGUAAAGGAAAGUUCUGGGCCAGAACCAUGUGGCACCCUAGAGGGUACGGCAUAUGGGGCAGGUAUCAGAGGGCUCCAGAACAACAUCUCCAGGGAGAAAAGAGGGCUGAUAAACUAUCAACAGGCUUGACCUUGUGGAAGCUGACAUAGAAAAACAUGUUGGAAGGUACACCAAAGCCUAAACAAUUAUAAACUCUAAGUCAUAUGAAAAAAAUCUGUAGUUAUAUUAGUCAUAAUAAAACUUGUGUGUAGAUUUAACCAAAAACUGAGAUAUCAUUUGGUGAAGUUGGAAGAUCAGGAAGGGGUGUGAGUAGGCUAAAAACCUGAUUUACUAUAAAAGAAGGCUCAAAAGUGAAAUCUAAAAUUGAUGUCCAGAAACUUCAGUGUAUACAUAAUGCUUGAAAAUACAGAAGGGUUGUGGACUGAAAGUUUACAUCCCCCAAAAUUCAUAUGUCAAAAUCUUAGCCCCUAGCGUAAUAGUAUUAAGAUGUGGGGCCUUUGGGGACACCUGAGUGGCUCAGUGGUUGAGCGUCUGCCUUCAGCUCAGGUCAUGAUUCUGGGGUCCUGGGAUCGAGUCCUGCGUCGAGCUCCCUGUAGGGAGCCUGCUUCUCCCUCUGCCUGUGUCUCUGCCUCACUCUCUGUGUCUCUCAUUAAUAAAUAAAUAAAAUCUUAAAAAAAAGACGUGGGGCCUUUGGGAGGGGAUUGGGUCAUGAGGCUAGAGCCUUCAUGAUGAGGUCAGUGCCUUUGCAGGAAGAAACACGAGAGCUUGCUGUCUGCUCUCUGCCAUGUGAGAACACAGCAUGAAGACAGCCGUCUCCACUCCAGGAAAUGGGCCCUCACCAGACACAGGUCUGCAGCGCCUUGAUCUCGGACCUCCCAGCCUCCAGAGCUGUGCAAAACUUUUGUUGCCGGAAGCCACUCUGUCUACGACAAUUUGUUACAACAGGCUGGACUAAAGACAGGAGCUUCGCACAGUAGGUAAUCCAGAGGAUGCUAAAAGUUUUGUCAGGAGGAUAAUUAAGAGCACGAAACAAAGAUGGAAUCAUGGAAUUGUAGAGCUGGCAAAGAACUCCCAGGUUCCUGACCCAGAGCACUCAAUGUGCAGACCUGUAAACUGAGCCCCACAGGUGCCGUGCACCCCCCAAGACAUGUGUACUAAGCAGCACAGCCAGGACCCAUGCCUGGGUCUCUAGCUCUCCAGGACCUGUUGCCUUUAUGUAGCCAGAGCACCUAAACUCCUCAGGACCAUCCUCCAGAGACUGUGCUCAGUGGGAAAAGUCUUCCAGAACAAUGACCUGACAGGGUAGAGGGAGAAAAAAGAAAGAUGCUGGGAAAAUUAGUUCCACACCUGCUUAGAGCCCAUGAGCAAGGCGUCAGAACAUUGACUAUGGCAUAUCUAACAGGCUCUACCCCCCAUGCCUGACCCUUUUGUGAAAACUUUAUAGAUCUAACCCCAAAGUCUUUGGCUCAGAACGGAGCUCAGACAAACAUGGGCAUGGCCAGCAAGCCCCAGACACAAGCCCCUCAUGUGAGGAAAUGGGUUUGUCCUGGCACAUGACCUCCAGCCAUAACAAAAUGACCAGAUUUUCCAAUAAAAGUAACUGGACUCA